UUCUGCACAUACCUGGAGUGGCUGUCUGCCCUGGCUCCUCGGUACAGGAAAGGGGAAGGGUGGAGAGUGAAAGAAGCCCAGGCUGACCCAACCAGGACCGCCUUCUCCCUCAGACCGAGUAGUGCAGACCCCAGGGCCUCCACCUUCAGACCCAGGAGUUCAGAUCCCCAGCGCCCUCCUCCCUCAGACCCAGGAGGAGUCCAGGUCCCCAGCGCCCUCCUCUCUCAGACCCAGAAGUCCAGGCCCCCAGCACCCUUCUCCCUCAGACCCAGGAGGAGUCCAGGCCCAGGCCCCAGCACCCUUCUCCCUCAGACCCAUGAGUCCAGGCCCCCAGCGCUCUCCUCCUUCAGACACAGGAGUCCUUGCCCCCAGCGCCCUUCUCCCUCAGACCCAGGAAUCCAGGCCCCCAGUGCCCUCCUCUCUCAGACCCAGGAGUUCUGGAAUUCAGGCUCUUCCUUCUCGGGUACUAAGAAAUGCAGACUCCGGGUUCCUCAUCCUCCAGAUUUGGGGUGGGGGUUCCGGACUCCGAGACCCCUCAGGGGAAACCGGCUGCAUAUCUGGGACACUUCCCUCUUGCCUCAGUUUCCUCCGCCAAGC
rnacentral:lncRNA from 1 species